UCAACCAUGAAAGCCAAUGUAAAUGGAAAUACUUUAUUUCACUUCUACACAAUAACAAGCUGGGAAAGAAAGAAAAAAAAACCCCUCACAAACAUAUGACCAAAAGAGAAGCGCAAUAAAAAGCUACAAAACAACACGUAGUACUGACGACUGGUUAGUAAGUGGCAAAAAAACAAAAAAACGCUAACAGGCUUCUAAAGAGUCAUCAUCAUCAGCAUCAUCAUUUUAUCCAUUAAGAAAUUUGCAAAAAGAAAUGUUUGGACAUCAAGCACAACCAUGCCAGUUAAUAUUCAUAUUUUACAAGGUUCAUGUGGAUGGAUCCUUAAACAAAGAGUGAAGGCCAUCAUUGAACUUCAUCAUCAUCAGCAUCAUCAUCAUCAUCGUCAUCGUCAUGUUAGCUGUCAUAAAUGUUUGGUAAAAAGACGAUUGUUGUUUUUUUUUCUUCUUUUUUUCUUUUUAAUGAACACACCAAACCGGCUGGCAUUUACAAUGAAACAAUACAUUUCAAGAUCAGUGAGGAGACAUUAAAGUGGUGGUGGUAUUUUUGUCUUCUGUUUUUUGUUCUUUCUCUUUCUUGUCUUAUCCAUUAAGAAAUUUGCAAAAAGAAAUGUUUGGACAUCAAGCACAACCAUGCCAGUUAAUAUUCAUAUUUUACAAGGUUCAUGUGGAUGGAUCUUACACAAAGAGUGAAGGCCAUCAUCAUCAUCAUCAUCAUCAUCGUCAUCGUCAUGUUAGCUGUCAUAAAUGUUUGGUAAAAAGACGAUUGUUGUUUUUUUUUCUUCUUUUUUUCUUUUUAAUGAACGCACCAAACCGGCUGGCAUUUACAA